rnacentral:rRNA from 1 species
UACGGAGGGUGCGAGCGUUGUCCGGAAUCAUUGGGCGUAAAGGGCGCGUAGGUGGCGGGACAAGCGUGCGGUGAAAGCUCGGGGCUCAACCCCGAGUCGGCCGUGCGAACUGUUUUGCUGGAGCACUGUAGAGGCAGGCGGAAUUCCGGGUGUAGCGGUGGAAUGCGUAGAGAUCCGGAAGAACACCGGUGGCGAAGGCGGCCUGCUGGGCAGUUGCUGACACUGAGGCGCGACAGCGUGGGGGGCAAACAGG